GGAGACAUGGCCGAGUGGUCUAAGGCGCCGUCUUAAGGCAAUGAUGACUCCUCCGGGAGCGUGAUUCGGCGGUCUUCGGGCGUGGGUUCGAAUCCCACUGUCUUCA
rnacentral:tRNA from 1 species